GCGCACGCAGGCGGUCUGUUAAGUCAGAUGUGAAAUCCCCGGGCUUAACCUGGGAACUGCAUUUGAAACUGGCAGGCUUGAGUCUCGUAGAGGGGGGUAGAAUUCCAGGUGUAGCGGUGAAAUGCGUAGAGAUCUGGAGGAAUACCGGUGGCGAAGGCGGCCCCCUGGACGAAGACUGACGCUCAGGUGCGAAAGCGUGGGGAGCAAACAGGAUUAGAUACCCUGGUAGUCCACGCCGUAAACGAUGUCGACUUGGAGGCUGUUUCCUUGAGAAGUGGCUUCCGGAGCUAACGCGUUAAGUCGACCGCCUGGGGAGUACGGCCGCAAGGUUAAAACUCAAAUGAAUUGACGGGGGCCCGCACAAGCGGUGGAGCAUGUGGUUUAAUUCGAUGCAACGCGAAGAACCUUACCUGGUCUUGACAUCCACGGAAUUCGGCAGAGAUGCCCUAGUGCCUUCGGGAACCGUGAGACAGGUGCUGCAUGGCUGUCGUCAGCUCGUGUUGUGAAAUGUUGGGUUAAGUCCCGCAACGAGCGCAACCCUUAUCCUUUGUUGCCAGCGCGUGAGGCGGGAACUCAAAGGAGACUGCCGGUGAUAAACCGGAGGAAGGUGGGGAUGACGUCAAGUCAUCAUGGCCCUAACGACCAGGGCUACACACGUGCUACAAUGGCGCAUACAAAGAGAAGCGACCUCGCGAGAGCAAGCGGACCUCAUAAAGUGCGUCGUAGUCCGG
rnacentral:rRNA from 1 species